GACGGAGGAUGCAAGUGUUAUCCGGAAUCACUGGGCGUAAAGCGUCUGUAGGUGGUUUAAAAAGUCUACUGUUAAAGCUUGAAGCUUAACUUCAAAAAUGCCGUAGAAACUUUUAAACUUGAGUAUGGUAGGGGUAGAGGGAAUUUCCAGUGGAGCGGUGAAAUGCGUAGAUCUUGGAAAGACCACCAAUGGCGAAGGCACUCUACUGGGCCAUAACUGACACUAAGAGACGAAAGCUAGGGGAGCAAAUGGGG
rnacentral:rRNA from 1 species